GACGAACCGAGCGAACGUUGUUCGGAAUCACUGGGCGUAAAGAGCGCGUAGGCGGCCAGAUAAGUCCGGUGUGAAAGUCAAAGGCUCAACCUUUGAAUGCCGCUGGAAACUGUCUGGCUAGAGUCCGGGAGGGGCGAGUGGAAUUCCUGGUGUAGCGGUGAAAUGCGCAGAUAUCAGGAGGAACACCUAUGGCGAAGGCAGCUCUCUGGGACGGUACUGACGCUGAGACGCGAAAGCGUGGGUAGCAAACAGG
rnacentral:rRNA from 1 species